rnacentral:rRNA from 1 species
AUGGCCAAGGAAAGCACUCCUCCUCCAAACCUCCAUGGCAUAAACCCCAUCAGAAACUCAAGCAAAAGAUUUCCUGGUGGAAGAAAACUUGCGCUGAUACUAAGCGCAGUCGUAUUCGUUCUUGUUUCCUCGGCAUAUUAUCCUGGGCAGGUUUUCUAUGGCUCUACAGAGCUGACUCAUAAUUCUCAUCAGACGGCCAUCGCCGGUCACAAAGACAAUGAAAUAGACUGCGAUCUGUUCAAUGGCACAUGGGUCAGGGAUUUGGGAGGCCCAAUCUACACUAACAUGACAUGCCCGACGAUACCAGAUUCAAAGAACUGUGCAAAGUAUGGAAAGCAAAUGGAUUAUGUAAACUGGAGGUGGAAGCCACAGGGCUGUGAUAUGGCAAGGUUUCAACCUCAGCUAUUCUUAAAUAUUGUCCAAGGGAAGACAUUGGCUUUUGCUGGGGAUUCAAUUGGACGGAACCAGAUGGAGUCACUCCUCUGUUUAUUGUCUCAGGUAGAAGCUCCAACAAAAGUUCACAGCGACACUAAAGAUAAAUUUAUCACAUGGAACUUCAGAUCUUAUAACUUCACUCUCAUGGCACUGUGGACAAAAUUUCUAGUAGAAGAUUCUCAAAGAGAGAUCAACGGGACAUUAGUUGAAUCGCAUGAUAUGCACUUAGAUAAACUUGAUGCAAGAUUAGCUGCAAACUUGCAUGAGAUCAAUAUCUUAGUUGUAUCUAGUUCGCGUUGGUUCUUCAGAACAAAUUAUCUCUACGAAGACGGGAAACUCAUCGGUUGCAUAUACUGCUCAGAGGAUAACAUCACAAGUUUCAGCGUCAUUUCAGCUAUUCAGAGGGUAUUCAGGACGGCUAUCAGUAACUUGAAUAGCCGCCGAGAAUCCAGAUUGCAGUUAACAGUGGUGAGGACAGCAACACCGGCACAUUUUGAAAAUGGCCAGUGGAAUACUGGAGGAACAUGCAACAGAACUGAACCAGUGGGAGAAGGAACAGCAAUGACCAGUACAAGUGAAAGGGAAAUAAGAGAUGUCCAGGUUGAGGAAGCGAACAGAGCACAAAAGGAGAAAAAACAAAAGGGUGGGAUGAAUAUAGAGAUCCUAGAUAUAACCAAGCUUAUGUCUAUGAGACCUGAUGCACACCCAGGGAUCCACUGGAAUAAUGAGUGGAUGAGGGGUUACAGUGACUGUUCGCAUUGGUGCCUGCCAGGACCAAUUGAUAUGUGGAAUGAGCUAUUACUUGCUGUGCUUUACAAAUAUAAGAAAAACGUGGAAGUCCAAUGA